AGGUGAAUGUUGUUAGGCCGACAAGAUCGCUACGUUGAUCAAAUCCGCUGGUGUUAGUUGCGAGUCAUACUGGCCAAUGCUAUUCGCCAAAAUGGCGGAGAAACGUAACGUUACUGACCUCAUCAUGAACGUUGGUGCUGGUGGCGGAGGUGGUGCCCCAGUUUCAGCUGCUGCCCCAGCUGCCGGUGGUGGUGCUGCAGCUCCUGCACCUGCCGCUGAGGAGAAGAAGAAGGUAGGAGAAAUAGCAGCAAUUAAUAAAUUCUUUUAUUGCUUAGUUCAACUUGUUUCUAAACAUUUUUUUGGUAAAAUCUAUUGUGGAUGCAGGAAGAAGUGGCAGAAGAGAGUGAUGGGGAUUUGGGUUUCGGCUUGUUCGACUAAGCAAGAAGCAAUUGCUUUUGUUUUUUUCUUGUUAUUAGUUGGUUGUUUUAUCCAAUUGAGACGCGCCAUGUUUUGUUUAGUUGCUACUUCGUUUCCUCAAGUUUUGGUUGUUUUCUUGAAUCACCCUGUUUGUGUAUCUCAAGUCUACCGAGCAAAACCAUCGGGGAGUUUGACAUUUUCUUUAUAUUUCCUUCUUUGACAGCUAAUAUUGGUGUGAGAUUUAUAAAUCAUGAAAUCAUAAGAAAAGAUCAUCGAAUCGCAAGAAAUGUUAGGAAAUUUUGAUGAAUAUAAAUGUAGAGAAAUAUAAAAUUAUCGGGAGGCUUGUAAAUGAGUAACUGGGCUUUACAAUAGUAGUUUUUGUCGGUUAAGUGUGUUAAUGAGGAGAAGGAGAGUGGAUCAAACGCGCUUCUAUUUGGGUUUAUGGAUUGAAACAACAUGUUUGUUUCUUCUGUCUCUUUUGUUAGUUGUUACACUUCCAACUCAUCCUCUUCCUGUCUUCCUCGUUUUCUCCGCCUCUCUCUCUCUCUCUCUCUCACUUCAUUUUACUCAUUCCCUUUGGGAAAGGAUUGGUCUCCAUUGAUAUAUCGAAAUGGCUACGUCUUUCUCCGCCACACUUCCUCUCCAUGGAUCUCAAGAGAAUCGUCUCUUACUUCCUCCGAUCCGAUUGGCUCCUCCUCCUUCUUCUUUCCUCGGAUUCACCCGUUCUCUCACCAUUCCUUCUUCUCGAAGACUCUACCACGCUCACGCCGCUCGUCGAUCUCCCGUCGUUGGCGUCCAGGAAGUUGUCAAGGAGAAGAAAGUCACCAACAGCCUGGUAUGCAUUGUCCAAACUCACUGAUACUUAUUAUUAGCAUCGACAGAGUUAGUUCUUUAGUAUUAUAACUAUUAGAUUAUUUAAAUUUCUGUAUAUGCUUUUUGAUUGAGAAAUUGGAGUUAUAGAUUUUUAUUUGAUUUGUUUUGAAAUUAGUUGAUAACCAAAGAGGAAGGAUUAGUGUUGUAUGAAGACAUGAUACUCGGUAGAUCAUUCGAGGACAUGUGUGCUCAAAUGUACUACCGUGGCAAGAUGUUCGGUUUUGUCCACUUGUACAACGGCCAAGAAGCCGUCUCCACCGGCUUCAUCAAGCUCCUCACUCAGUCUGAUUCAGUCGUCAGCACGUACCGUGACCACGUCCACGCCCUCAGCAAAGGCGUCUCUGCUCGUGCCGUCAUGAGCGAGCUCUUCGGGAAAGUCACGGGAUGCUGCAGAGGCCAAGGUGGGUCCAUGCACAUGUUCUCCAAAGAGCACAACAUGCUCGGUGGGUUCGCUUUUAUCGGAGAAGGCAUCCCUGUCGCCACCGGUGCUGCGUUCACCUCAAAGUACAAGAGGGAAGUCUUGAAACAGGACUGUGAAGACGUCACAGUUGCGUUUUUCGGAGACGGGACUUGUAACAACGGGCAGUUCUACGAGUGUCUCAACAUGGCUGCGCUUUAUAAGUUGCCUAUUAUCUUCGUCGUGGAGAAUAACUUGUGGGCUAUUGGGAUGUCUCACUUGAGAUCGACUUCUGAUCCUGAGAUAUGGAAGAAAGGUCCUGCGUUUGGGAUGCCGGGUGUUCAUGUUGACGGUAUGGAUGUGCUGAAGGUGAGGGAAGUGGCUAAAGAGGCGGUGACGAGAGCUAGAAGAGGAGAAGGUCCGACGUUGGUGGAAUGUGAGACUUACAGGUUCAGAGGACACUCCUUGGCUGAUCCUGAUGAGCUCCGUGAUGCUGGUACAUCUCUUGUUCCUUUUUUUCUUGUAAUGUUUUAUCUUAGGAUUGAAACUAACCUUUAGAUUAUGGCAGCUGAGAAAGCCAAGUACGCGGCAAGAGACCCGAUCACAGCAUUGAAGAAGUAUCUGAUAGAGAACAAGCUGGCGAAUGAAGGGGAACUUAAGACGAUAGAGAAGAAGAUAGACGAUUUGGUGGAGGAAGCGGUUGAGUUUGCAGACGCGAGCCCACAGCCUGGUCGGAGUCAGUUGCUAGAGAAUGUGUUUGCUGAUCCCAAAGGGUUUGGAAUAGGACCCGAUGGAAGGUACAGAUGUGAGGAUCCCAAGUUUACUCAAGGCACUGCUCAAGUCUGAAGAAAAAAACUACUUAACCUGUGUUCUGUUCUGUCUUUGGUUUCUGUUUAAUGUUUUUUUUUACUUGUCAUUAAGUUAAAAUGCUACAAAAAAACACAGUUUGGAUCGUUUGAAUUAUUUUUUCUUUCAGUUGGAAAUUUGCUAAAUUACAGAAAAUGUUCGUCAAAACAUUCUGAAUAACAAAACGACUAAGCUAAAGAGAGGCUUUCAUGUAGCGGGUUAAAUGACCCGACCCGGUUUAUCCUCUUAAAUUUUCUAUAUUUCUUAUUUAUUUAUUUUUAGUUUUCGUCACAAAUUAUUUACUUUUAAUGGCGGAGAAACGUAACGUUACUGACCUCAUCAUGAACGUUGGUGCUGGUGGCGGAGGUGGUGCCCCAGUUUCAGCUGCUGCCCCAGCUGCCGGUGGUGGUGCUGCAGCUC
rnacentral:lncRNA from 1 species